CGGGCCGGAGCAGGGCGGGGGAGCCCCUCAGGGCUGCGGGGCCCAGACCGGGGCCGGGUUGGACUCGUCGGGCCCCGCCGUGCGCGGUGGGCGAGGCCGGAGCAGGGCGAAGCUUCCCUGUGCAGCUGUGCGUGCUCUAUGGAUGAGCCUCGGUCCUGAAGGAUGGCCAGCAGUCCCAGGAAUAACGCUUCCCUCUCCGUUCAGAAAGGCACACACGUGGAAAAUUCCCAAGGGAAGAAGUUGCAGUAUACAGAAGAAGCAAACUUCUACAUGAACUGCAGAGCAGCUUAUCUGACUGUUCUGAAAAGCAGCUUAGAAAAUAUCAAAUCCAGAGAACAGCUCAGCCUAGUACUUCAACAGGCUGGAAGAAAUCCAUCUCAGAAGACCAUUAAUAAAUACUGGACUUCACAAACAACUGCACUGAAUUUUGAUGAUUUUUGUGCUAUUUUAAAACAAGAAAAGCCAGUUACAAAAACUGAGCUGCUCGAAGCAUUUGGAAAAAUAGACACAGAUAAAACUGGAUAUAUUUUACAUGAUGAACUCUAUAAAAUCCUUACAACAAGAGGUGAUAAAAUGACUUGGGAUGAAGUGAACGCAAUUACUAAACAGGCUGAUUUUAACUGCAGUGGCAAACUUGAUUACAGCAAGUUUUGUGAGUUGUACCUGACCACCAGGGAGCAGAGCUGCAGGACUGCCCGGGAGAGGCUGGAAGUUGACAGUAGGUUGAGGCAGCAGCAGUUUGGGAAUCAAGCUGAAACUUCCUCUGAAGGGAUCCCGCUGCCAGUGCCAAAACCAUCGCCCAGAAUCUCCAAGAAAACCGAUCACAAACUACCAAAAGGUGACAGCAGAGCUCCUUCAAGACCCUCAUCAGCCCAAAGUGGCAAAGCUUCCACUGUCAGUGUGGGUUCCAGCAGCAACAGGAGCACAAAGCUAAUUGAGCCCGACACAAUGAAGGAAUGGCAAUGGGCACAAUCCAAAGGCUGCUUCUACUUGGAAGAAGAUAGUGAAAUCAUCAGUCACAAGUACAGGGUGCACUUCCCUCAGAGGUCCUCAGUUUGUGUCACCAUCAAGCCUUUAAAUGUUCCCCAGGUAGAAGGAAGAUCUUGUCACUGGUUGUCAGUGGAUACAGCUUUGUUUAUUCUGAAGGAGAACGAAACCCAAGAGAAUCUACAGCUUGUGAGCUUUACUGAAGUACAGAACAAAGAGAUGUUUGGCUGGAAAGGGGAGCUUGGAUCUGGGAAUUACUGGCUGCUCCCGUUCACAACAGGCUGCAGGCUGAGGAAGGGGAAAACACAAGUGACUGGAGAAGCAAAAUUGGUGUAUAGGGAUGAAGAUGGAGAACUGGCCCUCACCAAAGGCUUCAGAGCUGCUUUAUUGGAUAUAUUUGAAACAAUAGAUUUGGAUGGGAAUGGCCUCCUGAGUCUGGAGGAAUACAACUUCUUUGAACUGAGAACUAGUGGAGAGAAGUGUGAUGAGGAAGCAUGGGCUGUGUGUAAAGAGAAUUUUGAGAUGAAGAAGAAUGAACUCACGAGACAAGGAUUCCUGGAUUUGAAUCUCAUGGAAGCCACGGACCGGGAAGGGGAUCCCAGUGACCUCUGGGUCACUCUGUUGUCCCUGGGCUACAACAAGGCCUUAGAAAUGACAGAGGCCUGUCCCUUUGUCAUUGACAUCUAUGCAGAGAGAUGCAAACCCAGAAUUAAAGCCAUGUAUCUGGAGGCAGGGGGCUCCCAGCUCAGCAGGGCUGUUUGCAGGGCUGUGGUGAAUAAAGGAGAGCCCAAAGUACUGGAUGGCUCUGAGAACAUCGUGGUCCACACCUACAAAUCAGGCAGGAGAAUCACUUCUGUUAUUGAAAAUAAGUCUGAAAGCAAAGUGAUUAUUCAUGUCAACAAUGAGCAGAGUAAGAACUGCCUAAAUAACAGGGGACUGACAGUUUUUGCUGUAGAAGUGGCACCAAAAUCCAUGAUGGUCUGUCAGCACGUGGUGCCCCUGAACGAGCAGGAGGAGUGGAUUUAUAACUGUGUGCACUCCCUUGGUAGCUGAAAUAAGGAGGCUGAAGUGCACCAAGUUUAGGCUGCAACAGCAAAGAAAACCACAUUUUAGGAAGGGAAUGGUUAAGGCUGAAGGAAGAGCUUAGUGGAGAAAUCACUGCACAGGAAAGACUUGGUUUUGCUGCAGGUAAAAAACAUGGCACAGCAACAGGGGAACCUCAUUUAUGUUCUGAUCCUCUUGCUGCUAGGAAGGGUUUAAUUACCCAGAUUUUAAAGUGGGAACAUGGGCAAGCUCUCCAUGGCAGGCUCUGCCUUUCCUGCCCUGGAGGAGGUGAGAAUAGAGAUCUCAGAAUCUGCAGAUUCUUUUCCAGUUUGCUUCAAGUCCAGGUGCCACCAAGACAGAAAAACAUUUCAGCUUCUCUUUUCAAGGCUGAACAUAGGUACCAGCUUAUUUUCUUCAAGGGGAGACAUUUGAGAGAAAAAGUGUCUGUAACACCUGUAAUUUUAAUUUCUGGAAUUACCUUACUUUUGAGAACUGGUGGUAUAAUAACAAAGUUCAGCUGCUUCGUGGGUUUGCCAGCACUGACCUUCCCUGACCAACCUUCUGGGGGUAUUUGGGGAGGUCCUGGUUGUGUGGGGUGGUCAGUUGAGUCCAGGGCCUGCUUGUAGGGCCUGUGGUGACAUCCUGCUGGUAGCUGUAGGGACAUGGAGAGUCUGGAGCCCCAGGAGCAGCUGAGGGAGCUGGGUGGGGCUCAGCCUGGAGAAAAGGAGGCUCAAGGGGGACCUUCUCACUCUCUGCAACCUGACA